rnacentral:lncRNA from 1 species
CUCUUCCCUCCCUCCUCCUUCACUCCCCCUUCACUCUUCCCUCCCUCCUCCUUCACUGCAUCCUUCACUCCCCCCUCCCUCCUCCUUCACUCCCCCUUCACUCUUCCCUCCCUCCUCCUUCACUCCCCCUUCACUCCUCCCUCCCUCCUCCUUCACUCCCCCUUCACUCCUCCCUCCCUCCUCCUUCACUGCUCCUUCACUCCCCCCUCCCUCCUCCUUCACUGCUCCUUCACUCCUCCCUCCCUCCUCACUGUUUCACUCCUCCCUCCUCCUUCACUCCUCCUCCCUCCUCCUUCACUGCUCCUUCACUCCUCCCUCCCUCCUCCUUCACUGCUCCUUCACUCCUCCCUCCCUCCUCCUUCACUGCUCCUUCACUCCUCCCUCCCUCCUCCUUCACUGCUCCUUCACUCCUCCGUCACUCCCCCUUCACUCCUCCCUCCUCCUUCACUGCUCCUUCAUUCCUCCCUCCCUCCUCUGUCACUCCCCCUUCACUCCUUCCUCCUCCUUCAUCAGAGGUGGUGUCUCUUCGUGGUUCUUCUGGAGGUUUGAAGGUUCUUCAGUCGUACAGGAAACCUCGAGGCCUCGGCCGCAGCUUGAGCUCCUACCUGAACCACAGCGCACGACUGGGUACAGAAACUGCA